CUGGCCGUAAACGAUGAACACUAGAUGUUGGGGGAAUCGACCCCUCCAGUGUCGUAGCUAACGCGUUAAGUGUUCCGCCUGGGGAGUACGCACGCAAGUGUGAAACUCAAAGGAAUUGACGGGGGCCCGCACAAGCGGUGGAGUAUGUGGUUUAAUUCGAUGCAACGCGAAGAACCUUACCAAGGCUUGACAUCCUGCGAAUCUCCAAGAAAUUGGAGAGUGCCUUCGGGAACGCAGUGACAGGUGGUGCAUGGCUGUCGUCAGCUCGUGUCGUGAGAUGUUGGGUUAAGUCCCGCAACGAGCGCAACCCACGUUUUUAGUUGCCAGCAUUCAGUUGGGCACUCUAGAAAGACUGCCGGUGACAAACCGGAGGAAGGUGUGGACGACGUCAAGUCAUCAUGCCCCUUACGCCUUGGGCUACACACGUACUACAAUGCUGCGGACAAAGAGUAGCGAUCUUGCAAAAGUUAGCUAAUCUCGUAAACCGUGGCUCAGUUCAGAUCGUAGGCUGCAACUCGCCUACGUGAAGGAGGAAUCGCUAGUAAUCGCAGGUCAGCAUACUGCGGUGAAUACGUUCCCGGGCCUUGUACACACCGCCCGUCACACCAUGGAAGUUGGCCAUGCCCGAAGUCGUUACUCUAACCUUUUGGAAGAGGGUGCCGAAGGCAGGGCUAAUGACUGGGGUGAAGUCGUAACAAGGUAGCCGUAGCGGAAGCUGCGGCUGGAUCACCUCCUAA
rnacentral:rRNA from 1 species